rnacentral:rRNA from 1 species
GCGAACGGGUGAGUAACACGUGGGCAAUCUGCCCUUCACUCUGGGACAAGCCCUGGAAACGGGGUCUAAUACCGGAUACGAGUUCGGGAGGCAUCUCCCGGACUGGAAAGCUCCGGCGGUGAAGGAUGAGCCCGCGGCCUAUCAGCUUGUUGGUGGGGUAAUGGCCUACCAAGGCGACGACGGGUAGCCGGCCUGAGAGGGCGACCGGCCACACUGGGACUGAGACACGGCCCAGACUCCUACGGGAGGCAGCAGUGGGGAAUAUUGCACAAUGGGCGCAAGCCUGAUGCAGCGACGCCGCGUGAGGGAUGACGGCCUUCGGGUUGUAAACCUCUUUCAGCAGGGAAGAAGCGCAAGUGACGGUACCUGCAGAAGAAGCGCCGGCUAACUACGUGCCAGCAGCCGCGGUAAUACGUAGGGCGCAAGCGUUGUCCGGAAUUAUUGGGCGUAAAGAGCUCGUAGGCGGCUUGUCACGUCGGGUGUGAAAGCCCGGGGCUUAACCCCGGGUCUGCAUCCGAUACGGGCAGGCUAGAGUGUGGUAGGGGAGAUCGGAAUUCCUGGUGUAGCGGUGAAAUGCGCAGAUAUCAGGAGGAACACCGGUGGCGAAGGCGGAUCUCUGGGCCAUUACUGACGCUGAGGAGCGAAAGCGUGGGGAGCGAACAGGAUUAGAUACCCUGGUAGUCCA